CCUACGGAGUCUGCAGUGAGGAAUAUUGGUCAAUGGCCGUAAGGCUGAACCAGCCAAGUAGCGUGAGGGAAGACUGCCCUAUGGGUUGUAAACCUCUUUUAUGCGGGGAUAAAGGUGUCCACGUGUGGAUGUUUGCAGGUACCGCAUGAAUAAGGACCGGCUAAUUCCGUGCCAGCAGCCGCGGUAAUACGGAAGGUCCGGGCGUUAUCCGGAUUUAGUGGGUUUAAAAGGAGCGUAGGCCGGUCUUUAAGCGUGCCGUGAAAUUUUGUGGCGCAACCAUGAGAGUGCGGCGCGAACUGGAGACCUUGAGUGCGCGGAAGGCAGGCGGAAUUCGUGGUGUAGCGGUGAAAUGCUUAGAUAUCACGAAGAACCCCGAUUGCGAAGGCAGCCUGCCGCAGCGUUACUGACGCUGAAGCUCGAAAGCGCGGGUAUCGAACAGGAUUAGAUACCCCUGUAGUC
rnacentral:rRNA from 1 species